rnacentral:rRNA from 1 species
AGACGUAGGGGGCUAGCGUUGUCCGGAAUUACUGGGCGUAAAGGGCGUGUAGGCGGCCAGGAAAGUCAGUGGUGAAACACCUGGGCUCAACCCAGGUAUUGCCGUUGAAACUGUCUGGCUUGAGGAUAGAAGAGGAGUGUGGAAUUCCCGGUGUAGCGGUGAAAUGCGUAGAGAUCGGGAGGAACACCAGUGGCGAAGGCGGCACUCUGGUCUAUACCUGACGCUGAGGCGCGAAAGCUAGGGAAGCAAACAGGAUUAGAUACCCUGGUAGUCCUAGCCGUAAACGAUGGGCACUAGGUGUAGGGGGUUUAGAUACCUUCUGUGCCGUAGCUAACGCAUUAAGUGCCCCGCCUGGGGACUACGGUCGCAAGGCUAAA